rnacentral:rRNA from 1 species
UACGUAGGGUGCGAGCGUUGUCCGGAAUUAUUGGGCGUAAAGAGCUUGUAGGUGGUUUGUCGCGUCUGCUGUGAAAAUCCGAGCUCAACCUCGGACUUGCAGUGGGUACGGGCAGACUAGAGUGUGGUAGGGGAGACUGGAAUUCCUGGUGUAGCGGUGGAAUGCGCAGAUAUCAGGAGGAACACCGAUGGCGAAGGCAGAUCUCUGGGCCAUUAACUGACACUG